GAGGCCGGUGAUGAUCGAAACAUAUUUUGCCUACAUUGCUUGAUUAUCUUAUUUUAUUGAGAUAAUGAUAAAAUCCGAUGUAUCUGAGGCCUUC